rnacentral:rRNA from 1 species
GAUGAACGCUGGCGGCGUGCCUAAUACAUGCAAGUCGAGCGAACAGACGAGGAGCUUGCUCCUCUGACGUUAGCGGCGGACGGGUGAGUAACACGUGGAUAACCUACCUAUAAGACUGGGAUAACUUCGGGAAACCGGAGCUAAUACCGGAUAAUAUAUUGAACCGCAUGGUUCAAUAGUGAAAGACGGUUUUGCUGUCACUUAUAGAUGGAUCCGCGCCGCAUUAGCUAGUUGGUAAGGUAACGGCUUACCAAGGCAACGAUGCGUAGCCGACCUGAGAGGGUGAUCGGCCACACUGGACCUGAGACACGGUCCAGACUCCUACGGGAGGCAGCAGUAGGGAAUCUUCCGCAAUGGGCGAAAGCCUGACGGAGCACCGCCGCGUGAGUGAUGAAGGUCUUCGGAUCGUAAAUCUCUGUUAUUAGGGAAGAACAAAUGUGUAAGUAACUAUGCACGUCUUGACGGUACCUAAUCAGAAAGCCACGGCUAACUACGUG